UACAGAGGGUGCAAGCGUUAAUCGGAAUUACUGGGCGUAAAGCGAGCGUAGUCGGUUAUUUAAGUCGGAUGUGAAAUCCCCGGGCUCAACCUGGGAAUUGCAUUCGAUACUGGAUAGCUAGAGUUCGGCAGAGGGAAGCGGAAUUUCUGGUGUAGCGGUGAAAUGCGUAGAUAUCAGAAGGAACAUCAGUGGCGAAAGCGGCUUCCUGGACCAGAACUGACGAUCAGGCUCGAAAUCGUGGGGAGCAAACAGG
rnacentral:rRNA from 1 species